rnacentral:ncRNA from 12 species
GGAAUUUGAGGUGGACGAUUUUGCCUUCCACACACCUAGCAAUAGGUUUAAGAGAUGCAGGGACUUGGCAGACCUGCCAAAUUCC